UUGAGAAAGUUGUAGAGGAGAUGAAAGAUGAUUCCUCGUGGGAUACAUUUGCUAAUUUAGCAUCGAUCUACGCUAAAGCUGGUCUGUUCAGUAAAGCAGAAGCAGCGUUGAAGUCUUUGGAGGAGAAGAUGAAUCCACACAAGCGUGAUUCGUAUCAUUUCCUCAUUAGUUUGUACGCUGGAAUCUCUAAUCCUUCCGAGGUGUAUCGAGUUUGGGAGUUGCUAAAGAAGGGUCACCCUAAAGUCAACAACUCGAGCUCUCUUGCGAUGGUCCAAGCGCUGAGUAGACUCAAUGACUUUGAUGGGAUCAAGAAGGUGUUUAAAGAGUGGGAGUCAACUUGCUAUACUUACGAUAUGAGGGUGGCUAAUGUGAUGAUUAGCAGCUACUUGAAAGAGAACAUGUACGAAGAAGCUGAGGCUGUUUUCGACGGUGCUGUGAAGAAGUGUAAAGGUCAGCUUUCGAAGGCGAGGCAGCUUUUGAUGGUGUACUUGUUGAAGAAUGAUCAGGCGGGUUUGGCUUUGAAGCAUUUGGAAGCGGCUGUUUUGGAUCAAGACAAGAACUGGAGUUGGAGCUCGGAGCUGGUCAGUUUAUUCUUUCUCCACUUUGAGAAGUCCAAAGACGUUGACGGAGCGGAAGAGUUGUGCAAAACAUUGGUGAAGUGGAGUCCUUUAGGUUCUGAAAGUUAUACUCCUCUUUUAAAGACUUACGUAGCUGCAGAGAGAACUUGUAACGGUAUGCAAAAGAGGUUGGAGGAAGAAGGGAUCGAAAUAGACGAUGAGAUGGAAGGUUUGCUUAGCAAGAUUUGCACUUGAUUCAUUUAAAAAAAAUAAGCAUGACUCUCUCUACUGAUUAAUCAACUAGUAAACGUUUUACAUUACGUUUAUAAAACGAGCUAUUCUGUUUCAGUACUUCUGGAGUUUCAAGAUUUAGCUAUUCAACAUAAACGUUUGUGUCGCCGCUGUCGCGUAUCUUGUAGUUAGGAAAUGAAUCUGUUCGUGUUUGAACUUUAAGUUGUUGUAAAUAUAUAUUGCAGUACGCAGUAUUCCUUAGUAAGCCAAAACAAUCGAAUUUUGAGAGAAACUAGCUAAAGAUUUUGAGACGAUUUUGUUUGCAAGACCAAAUAUGUCUCAAUCUUGCAACGACAGUUAGAACAAAUUAUUGUGGCUUAUAUUAUAGAGAAAUUCUUCAGUAUGAUAGAAAAUGUAACAUAGUUUUUUUUAGUAUGAUGAAAUCCGUUUCAAAAUACUUUUUUUAUAAGAAACGGUGAUAUGAGAAUGACGCAAAAUAUUCAUAUGAAAUAUUCGAAAAUGUGAAACAUUGUGUACAACACGUUGUAAUUAUAUAAUACUUAAUAGUAGUUUAUGGAAGUGCUAUUGGCGAGACGCGAAAGGAGGCACGUAUAAUAUUUCAAACGCACGUAGUAAAACAACUGUUACACGAAUAGAGCAAAAGAGUGCUUGAGCUUUUCUUAUAAGUUAUAAGAUGUCAUCAUUAUCAGCGUUAAAUAUAUAAUAUGUUAGUGCUUAAUUACAUGCACAAGACUUAUCUAUGUCCGACCAAUGGAUCUUGACGCGUUUUCGAGAUUUAAGAUUCUUUUGAGUGGGUUCCCAUUUUUUUUCAUGAACCUCUAGUUAAUUAGAGGACGCGUGCAUGUGUUUUUGUUGAUGGAGUUUUGGGAUAUAAGUAGGGGUUCGCCAAUGUCUGUAAUUAAAAAGCUGGAACUGAUCGAGCUUGUGUUGUUUCAGAAUCCCUCUUGUCCUCUUGAUCUGAGUGGGCUUGCUUGUAUAAAAAUAGCUAGAAAGGCAACGGGUAUAUGGGGAAGUUUCUGAGAUUGGGUUGGGUAGUGGUAUGUGUGAUUGUGUUAUUGAUGUCUGUUCAAGUUUUGGGACAAGCAUUCGAUGGUGAUAGUGGUGAUAUCGGGGGUGAAGUUGCAGCUGGUCUUGGCGGACGUGGUUGUCGAGCCCAUGCUGGUGGUGGUUGAUACGAUCAUGUUGUUGUUUGUGUUUAAAUUAGUUUGAAUAACUGUUCUGCUUCUGCAGUCAAGUCUUACGGAAUCGAGUAGAGUCGUUGAGUUUGUUCUGAUUUUUCAGCUAGUCGUUGAGUUUGUUCUGAUUUUUCAGCUAUUUCUCUAUUAUCUUCUUUCGUCAUUUGUACGGAUAUUUAGAAGCCUCAAUUGCAAAAUCAUUAGAAUAUCACUUCAGUUAAAGUUUUUUUCACAUUUAGUAUCAAAGCCAUCAAAAGAGAACAACAUGUAUACGAGAAUGAUCAAGAGACGACGAAAAAAAAAACAGAGGGGAGAGAGUGAUGUAUGAGAAAUUUGUGCAGUAGACAAAUGGCCAUCUCAGAUUUUGGAGACUACAAACAUUUACUAAGAACUUUGAUAAAAAAGAAGAUCAUAACUUAGAGAUCUAUGUCUCUUAUAAUCUCCAAAAAAAUUGGGGUCAAAACCAAUGUUUCAUUGGAUAUGCCCAGAGUGUUCGGGUAUCCUUUUGGAUUUGGUUUGAGUUUAUUUGGAUUUUGAGUUUUUGGAGUUAGGGAUUUAAGCCUUAUUCAGAUAUUUAUAAAUUGAUGAGAUGGCUGAUCACUUGUGCAGAAGCAUACAAAACCCUUGUGCUAUCACUUACUCCAUGUGAAUACAAAGCUGUGGAAGUUUAAAUGACUUAGAAGGUGUUGAGAAAGUUGUACAGGAGAUGAAAGGAGAUUCCUCAUGGGAUACAUUUGCUAAUCUAGCAUCGAUCUACGCUAAAGCUAGUCUUUACAGUAAAGCAGAAGCAGCGUUGAAGUCUUUAGAGGAGAAGAUGAAUCCACACAAGCGUGAUUCGUAUCAUUUCCUCAUUAGUUUGUACGCUCACCCUAACGUCAACAACUCGAUGAAAGGCUUUUUUAGUCAACUCUUUAUUCGUUAAAAUAUAAUUUUAUUCUUAAAUCCAUGCAAAUGAGGCUUUAGACAUAUCAAUGAAAAAAGAAAGAAAAGAAAAUGGCUUUGAAAACAA
rnacentral:lncRNA from 1 species